rnacentral:lncRNA from 1 species
GAUCCCAAUCCUGAAGAUCCCAAUCCCGAGGAUCCCAGUCCCAAGGCUGAUCCCGAGGAUCCGAAGGCGCUCCCGGAUCCCGAUCCAUAGGCAGAUCCUACAGUUCCCGAUCCGUAGGCGGCUCCUGAGGCUCCCAGUCCUGAGGAUCCCAAUCCUGAAGAUCCCAAUCCUGAAGAUCCCAAUCCUGAGGAUCCCAGUCCUGACGAUCCCAAUCCUGAAGAUCCCAAUCCUGAGGCUCCCAGUCCUGAGGAUCCCAGUCCUGACGAUCCAAGUCCUGACGAUCCAAAUCCUGAGGAUCCAAAUCCCGAAGAUCCCAGUCCGGAAGAUCCCAGUCCCGAGGAUCCCAGUCCCGAGGAUCCCAGUCCGGAAGAUCCCAGUCCUGACGAUCCCAGUCCCGAGGAUCCCAGUCCCGAGGAUCCCAGUCCCGAGGAUCCGAGUCCUGAGGAUCCCAGUCCUGACGAUCCCAGUCCUGAGGAUCCCAGUCCCGAGGAUCCCAGUCCCGAGGAUCCCAGUCCAGAAGAUCCCAGUCCCGAGGAUCCCAGUCCAGAAGAUCCCAGUCCUGAGGAUCCCAGUCCAGAAGAUCCCAGUCCCGAGGAUCCCAGUCCCAAGGCCGAUCCGGCGGAUCCGUAGGCGGCUCCCGAGGAUCCGAAUCCCGAGGAUCCCAAUCCCGAGGAUCCCAAUCCCGAGGAUCCCAAUCCCGAGGAUCCCUCGGAGGAUCCCAGCCCCAGCUCCGGAGCCUUGGGAGUCUCCCAGGAUCCGUAGGCGGCUCCGGGCGGCGCCGAGGCCGAGCCCGCGUAGAACUCGUAGCUCUCAUAGCCUGGAGGGGGAAAUCGGGAUAAAACCUCAAGUUUCCAGUGGGAAUUAAGGAUUAAUUCCAGAAGGAAAUAUUCCAGGAAUAUUUCCAGGAGGGAAAACUCUCGGGAAUAAAUCCCGGUCUCCAUUUUUUGGGAUAAAAUCC